AGAGUUUGAUCCUGGCUCAGGACGAACGCUGGCGGCGUGCUUAACACAUGCAAGUCGAACGAGGUCCAAGCAGUGGCAACACUGUGGAAGAUCUAGUGGCGAACGGGUGAGUAACACGUGAGGAACCUACCCUGGAGACUGGGAUAAGCUUCCGAAAGGAGGUCUAAUACCGGAUAUCCUCAUCGGACCGCAUGAUCUGAUGAGGAAAUGGAUUCCGCUCCAGGACGGCCUCGCGGCCUAUCAGCUUGUUGGUGAGGUAACGGCUCACCAAGGCAACGACGGGUAGCUGGUCUGAGAGGACGAUCAGCCACACUGGGACUGAGACACGGCCCAGACUCCUACGGGAGGCAGCAGUGGGGAAUCUUGCGCAAUGGGCGAAAGCCUGACGCAGCAACGCCGCGUGGGGGAUGAAGGCUCUCGGGUCGUAAACCCCUUUCAGCAGGGACGAAACUGACGGUACCUGCAGAAGAAGCUCCGGCCAACUACGUGCCAGCAGCCGCGGCAACACGUAGGGAGCAAGCGUUGUCCGGAUUUAUUGGGCGUAAAGAGCUCGUAGGCGGCUCAGCAAGUCGGGUGUGAAAACUCCGGGCUCAACCCGGAGACGCCACCUGAUACUGCUGUGGCUAGAGUCUGGUAGGGGAGUGUGGAAUUCCCGGUGUAGCGGUGAAAUGCGCAGAUAUCGGGAGGAACACCAGUGGCGAAGGCGGCACUCUGGGCCAGUACUGACGCUGAGGAGCGAAAGCGUGGGUAGCAAACAGGAUUAGAUACCCUGGUAGUCCACGCCGUAAACGUUGGGCACUAGGUGUGGGGGCGUACCAAACGCUUCUGUGCCGUAGCUAACGCAUUAAGUGCCCC
rnacentral:rRNA from 1 species